GCCCUACGCGAGUGACAGCAGUGUGCCAGCUUUUCGUCCCAAGGGGAUCGCCGGUAUCUGGACCGAGGCGCUAGGCUCGCUGGCUCCCUCUCUCAUUUCCAGCCAGCCAGGGCUAGUCUGAGAAGGGUUUCACUAUGUAGACCCUGGUCGGCCUGGAACUCUAUAGACCAGACUGGCCUCGAGCUCAGAUCCGUCCCCCUCUGCUGUCCCAGCACGGGGAUUAAGAACGCGCCACCACUACAGCUGACCGGAGCUUCACUUUGGUUAGACACAAACACAACACAGCUAGUCUGUCUUCUCUUCCCGACCUACGAUCUCUCCUUCAACAAACAGCCCCUCGGCGCUCGUCCCCGGAGCCCGCCCGCCCGCCAGCCAGCCCCUCUUGCUCCCCGCGCAGGGCCCAUCACCUGGAGACUCUCCUUCAGUUGCGGGAUGAGCAUCUUGUAGCGCUGCACAGGAUCGAAGUCCUGC
rnacentral:lncRNA from 1 species